GCCUGGAGGGGGCAGAAGCAAACAGAAGACAAUCGCACCUGAUACUGCACCCACUAGGAUUUGGAAAACCCAUAUUGGCUGUAUUACGAGGACCUCGCUCGUCUUCCAUCCUACCUAUCUUGAGAAGCCCAGCAUCGCUUCGACCAUCCUCCCAAAAGACUACAGCUCAAGACUGCGAUACAGUGACGAUCAACAGCCAGCUACUGUAUCAUCGUCAUUAUCAGCAUCAUCACCUCCAUCAUCACUACCAUCACCAUCACCAUCGUUAUCAAGAAGGAAUGGAUCACCCGGUAAUUACCCGCAGAGUUGUUAACGGUUAACAUGAUUCACCCCAACUACCCCUGUGGGAGGGGGUGAGGCCCCCCUCGUGGGAUGAGGAGCCGGCGUGGUCAGUCGGUGCUGGGCGCUCGUCUGGUGACGACCUAAGAUCCAUAGGUCUUAAGAACUAUUCCAGCAGUUGGUAAGAGUCGUUCGUCUGGUAAAAUAACUUUGUAUUUUGUUUAUAAAAAGUUAUUUAUUUAUAUUUUCUCUUUAUUUUUGUUUUUACUUUUUGUUUCUCUAUUUUUACGGGUACAAGGCAGAUGUAUUGCAGGUGUUAAAUUUGUGUUUGGUUUAUUAAAUUAACAUUUUCUUUAAUUUUGGGAUUUAACGUUAAUCCUGUUUACUAAUAGCACAUUGACUUAAAUGCAACUUUUUGGUUUUAUGUUGUGUUUAGCAGUCCAUGAACUGGGCAUCGACUCGGUGCCCUAAGUAACGUAAGUCAACAUUUCCCAUUCAUUAGUCGUAAUGGCUUGCAGCUUUCUCCGAUUAGUUCCUUUCCCACAGUCAACCUCUCCCACAGUCAACCUCUCCCACAGUCAACCUCUCCCACAGUCAACCUCUCCCACAGUCAACCUCUCCCACAGUCAACCUCUCCCACAGUCAGUGCUGUUGAAAGUUUCUCCACUCCUGUUCAAAGUUUUCCUCAGGAGCUACAGACUUAAAUCAUAAACACAUUAGAUUCCUGUUCGGGAGAAGUAUUCCGGUACUCGUUAUGUGCACUGAAAGCUUACCUUAAGCUUUAUCUAUAAUCAUGACUAAAGCGUAAUUACUGGAUGUUCUAUAAGCUAUUGUUGGGAGUCUGAAAACACCUAACAGAGGUUGACAGUAUUUAAGUCCUACACCAGUCCAAACACAAGUUUGUUACACGCGCCCCACUUGGAGUUGAAUCUAAAACCAGAUGAAGCCUCAAACUUACUCUUUAACGUUUACUGAUGGGUGAAGCCAACCCUCUGUUACUCUGGACUGAUCAUCUCA